UUUCCCCCUUUUCUUUUGUCACAGUAAUUGUUUUUGUAGGGUCUUAGAAAUUAGGGUUUUGAAUGGCACUGUUACACUCUUUCCCAUCCCAAAUCUCAUUGCUUCAACUUCAAUCCCACAGACAAUUCCCAAUUCCACCAUCAAUCUCCCCACUAAUUUCUUCAAUAUCACUCUCUGCACCAACCAAUCUUCAUUACCCAUCCCUUCAAUCACUUCGCUGUAGCUCAAGCUCGAGUUUUUCAGUACAUGAUGCGUCUCCUUUCACGAAAAUCUUCAUAAAAGGAUUCGAUAUAUGGCAUCUAUUCCAUGGGUGAUUGCCUUUACCAUUAGGCCGAGACACCAAUGAAUUUCUUUUUGGUGUUGGCAGGAGAGCCCAUUAAGUGUGGGAGAGAAUAAUAAUUUUUCUGAAGCCUUUGGAGCUAACUGAUGCAGGACUACCACAAUCAAUGUCUGAGGGACGUUUGCAGAGGACUUUUUCACAGUUUGGUGAAGUAAGCCAAGUGAAAAUGAUUAUGGAUACAAAAUCCAGGCAGCCUUUAGGGUUUGCAUAUAUCUGGUUUACUACAGAAGACUCUGCGGAAUUGGCAGUGAAAGAGAUGAAUGGAAAGUUUUUUGAUGGCAGGUUUGUUUAUGUAACAAUUGCAAAACCUGCACCAUCCAAAAGUUGGAAGAGACCUUACAAGUUCUAAUUUGAACAGUCUUAAAACUCUUUUGAAGUUAUUAAAAUUUUCCAUUCCCAGGUGGGCAAAAUUAGGUGAGAGGCCGAUGAAUGUAAUGCAAAAAUAAUUAACACCACCAGUUGUUGGUGUAUUUGGGGGAAAGGGGGGCACUAAUUAUGGAGUUAGGCUGUACCCAUCAAAGUGAGAAUUUUGCUACCAAGAACUGAAUACUGCAUUUACCUUUUACAUUCAUAAAACCUUAAUUUAAGCUUUGUUACCCUUUAUACUUUCAUUUACGGAUACAACAUGUAACUUGUUGCGAUUAGUAUAUAAUAAAAAUUGUUAGCGAUGGUCAGUGUG